rnacentral:rRNA from 1 species
GUGAGGAAUAUUGGUCAAUGGGCGCAAGCCUGAACCAGCCAUGCCGCGUGCAGGAAGACGGUCCUAUGGAUUGUAAACUGCUUUUAUUUGGGAAUAAACUCCGGUACGUGUACCGGCCUGAAGGUACCAAAUGAAUAAGCACCGGCUAACUCCGUGUCAGCAGCCGCGGUAAUACGGAGGGUGCAAGCGUUAUCCGGAAUCAUUGGGUUUAAAGGGUCCGCAGGCGGUCUUAUAAGUCAGUGGUGAAAGCCUACAGCUCAACUGUAGAACUGCCAUUGAUACUGUAGGACUUGAAUUCGAUCGAAGUGGGCGGAAUGUGACAUGUAGCGGUGAAAUGCUUAGAUAUGUCACAGAACACCGAUAGCGAAGGCAGCUCACUAGGUCUGGAUUGACGCUCAGGGACGAAAGCGUGGGGAGCAAACAGGAUUAGAUACCCCGGUAGUCC